AUCUGCGUAGAUUGGGACCACAGAAUCGUAUAUCCCUGAGCUUCUGCCGUCAAGGUGGGGGACUGGCUUACCCUUACGCUAAAACAGCUCUCUAGCCCAAAAGUUCCUGCCUGUUUUAUCUUCAUGGAAUUGUUGGUGCUGGUCCAGUCCAGCCCCAAGAUAAACCUCUGAGGUUUAAUGCCAGUUGGGAGAGCAGGACAGCGGCAAAUUCCAAGGGAAGCCCAGGGUUAUCACAAGCCCUGUGGCCACAUUAUGUCACAUUGCCAACUUCAACAGAGCUUGACCUCAGGCUGAACUCCGCUUUGCCAGGCUGCAGAGAAUGAAGCCGAGCAGCUCUAUCAAGCAUAGACCUUCCCAGCCAAGCAGGAGCCACCUAAACAAACCUAUCGCCUGUUCCCAAGAGAACUUCCUGAUUGUUUAUAAAUAAGCUCAAAAUGGUCAACAGGAUAUGGAUCUGCUAAGAUCAGAGAAGAGGCUUUCGCUUUACGAUGAUACACUAGCAUUCUCUUAUCAUGGCCAAAUUCUACAGCGGUCACAGGAUGUGCUAAUUUGUGCCUUAUAACUCUGAGGAAGCCAACAGCCAUGUUGCUUCCCCACAUGGCAAGAAACUGCAGCUCACCACUGGAGCGGAGGGCAAUUUCUGGCCAGCAGCCACCAGGAAACAGAAUUCCUCAGUAUUACAGUCACAAAGAACUGAAAUCUGCCAACAAAUGCAUGAUUUUGGAAGCAUAUACCUCCCCAGAUGAGAACCUAUUCCUGGCCAACAGCUUGAUUACAGAGGCCAGCUAAACCAUGCCCAGGCUCCUGAUCCACCGGCAUUGAAAGAUAAUAUGUGUGUGUGUUGUGUUCUAAGUUGCUAAGUUUGUGGUAAUGUUACGUUGCAUAAGAUGACUGAUACAGCUUUUGGUAAUGGAAGCAGAGUGUCAAUUUAACAAAUGUCUAAACAUGGGGCAGUGGCUUUGGAGUGGCAGUGGCUGGAGGAAUUUGGAAGGGCACGGCCGAGAAAGCUUAAAUCGUUCUGGACAGACUGUUAAUAGAAAUCUGGACAUUAAGGAUGUGCCAGUGAGGACUGAAAAGGAAGUGAGGAACAUGUUAGAAACUGGAAGAAGGAGGACCCUGGUUAGAUAGUGACAGAGAGCUUAGCACAGCCGUCUUCUGAAAUUCUGUGGAAAGUGGAACUUGCAAGUGAUGAACUCAGUUAUCUAAGGAUACUUCCAGGCAAAGUGAAGAUGCUACUUGGUUUCUUCUUGCUACUUAGAAUAAAGUGUGUGAAAAGAGA